CACACACAGAGACAUACCUACAUACACACACACAGACAUACUGGCAUACACACAGACAUACUGACACACACACAUACACACACAGACAUACUGGCAUACACACACAGACAUACUGGCAUACACACAGACAUACUGACACACACACACACAUACUGGCAUACACACAGACAUACUGACACACACACACACACACAGACAUACUGACACACACACACACACUGACAUACUGACACACACACACACACAGACAUACUGGCAUACACACACAGACAUACUGACACACACACACAGACAUACUGGCAUACACACACAGACGUACUGACACACACACACACACACACACACACACACACACACACACACACACACACACACACACACACACACACACACACACACACACACACACACACAGAGACAUACUGGCAUACACACAGACAUACUGACACACACACAGACAGACCUACUGACAUACAUUUAGCCACCCUCCAGGUUCUUACCUUUUCCUGGAGGGUGGUUUCCCUGGUCCAGUGGCAGGCUGAGGCAGAUGGGAGUUCUC